GUUUGUUUUUUGAACUUGUGACCAGGAGCUGGUCCCCGCCUGGCGAAUGGGAGAUCACUGCUGGAUAUAAACCCUGCCAAACUGGAGGGCCCAGCACACACUGCGGCCAGCCCACUGUCCACUUACCUCCCGAGACCUGCCUUCACCAUUGGACCUGAGGAUGGAUACCUCAGAGAGCAGCUGCCUGGGAAAGAAUUCCAAGAUGUGGGAACAAUUACUGAUGUGUGUUACAGUGACAAUGUGCCUGAGGUGGAGAUUUUCAGCCUGUUGGAGGAGGGUUUGCCCAGGUACACACUGCGAGUGGACACGUUGUACGGUUACAGUCACGAUGACUGGUUAAACACUCCCCUGGUGCCCCCAGACGUUAACAUCCACCUCAGCCAGGAGCAGAUCGAAGAGACACUCAAAUAUUUCCUUCUCUGUGCGGAGAGGGUGGGCCAGGUGACAAAGACAUACCGAGAUAUCGAGGCUGUCACCCACUUACUGGAGGAGAAAGAGCGGGAUCUGGAGCUCGCCGCUCGGAUUGGACAAUCCCUGCUUAAACAGAACCGCAUCCUGACAGAGAGUAAUGAAAACCUGGAA